rnacentral:rRNA from 1 species
AAGGACGAACGCUGGCGGCGUGCCUAACACAUGCAAGUCGAGCGGGGACAUGGAAGUAGCAAUACGGAAAUGUCUAGCGGCGGACGGGUGAGUAACGCGUGAGCAACCUGUCCCAGUCAGGGGGAUAAAGAGCCGAAAGGCUCCCUAAUACCGCAUGAGACCACAGCAUCACAUGGUGCAGGGGUCAAAGGAGAGAUCCGGACUGGGGUGGGCUCGCGUCUGAUUAGCUAGUUGGUGAGGUAAAGGCCCACCAAGGCGACGAUCAGUAGCCGACCUGAGAGGGUGAUCGGCCACAUUGGAACUGAGACACGGUCCAAACUCCUACGGGAGGCAGCAGUGGGGAAUAUUGGGCAAUGGGGGAAACCCUGACCCAGCAACGCCGCGUGAAGGAAGAAGGUCUUCGGAUCGUAAACUUCUAUCCUUGGUGAAGAUAAUGACGGUAGCCGAGAAGGAAGCCCCGGCUAACUACGUGCCAGCCGCUGC